rnacentral:lncRNA from 1 species
AAACAUUAUUCUUGAUGUCUCUGCAAGACUGUUUUGGGGGUGAAAUUAACAGGCAAGUUGGUGAGCUUUGGUGAAGCAAACAACCUUACAUGAUUUCUGUGGCCCUGCAGACUCCUGACUGAACUAACACAGUUGGGGAGAAUAAGCCGUAAAAAGGGGAGCUUUUCUGUCCUUUCACUUUGCACUGAUGCCCCAUCCAUCCUCCCUUUCUGCUUGCCAUGGUAAAUGGUGUCCGACGUAACACAGAUGCACUGUGCACUGGAGAGGCAGAGCAUCCUGCCUUCCACAGCCGUGCACACCAGUCCCUGUGCACAAGUGGCCACCCACCCAGCGAAUCGACGUGGUGUGCUUAUCAAAAUCUGUGUGUCUGUGGGCCAGAGCCAAAUCCAGAGCCCCAUCCUGAAUGCCCAGCGGUGCCCACAGCCAGGAGGAGCAUUCGAUGUGUGAUGACUCAUCUCGUGCAUCAGACGCUCUCUAAAGUUCCCACAGAUUAUACCAUGGCUUAGUGAGUGCGAUUCUAAGACAGUUCCAAAAGACUUUUCAAUCCGUGGGAGUUUCAAAGUGGAUUCUCAGACAAACAUGGGGAGGACUGAGGCAGGCUUGGACACGCACAGAAUCAGACAACGAUGGUCCGGAGUUCAAAUCCCUGCAACCACAUGGUGGCUCACAACCAACUGUAAUGAGAUCUGGCGCCCUCUUCUGGAGUGUCUGAAGACAGAUACAGUGUACUUACAUAUAGUAAAUAAAUAAAUCUUAAAAAAAAAAAAAA